rnacentral:rRNA from 1 species
GGGGGAGUACGGCCGCAAAGGUUGAAACUCAAAGGAAUUGACGGGGGCCCGCACAAGCAGUGGAUUAUGUGGUUUAAUUCGAAGCAACGCGAAGAACCUUACCAGGGCUUGACAUCCCACUAACGAAGCAGAGAUGCAUUAGGUGCCCUUCGGGGAAAGUGGAGACAGGUGGUGCAUGGUUGUCGUCAGCUCGUGUCGUGAGAUGUUGGGUUAAGUCCCGCAACGAGCGCAACCCCUAUUGUUAGUUGCUACGCAAGAGCACUCUAGCGAGACUGCCGUUGACAAAACGGAGGAAGGUGGGGACGACGUCAAAUCAUCAUGCCCCUUAUGUCCUGGGCUACACACGUAAUACAAUGGCGUUCAACAAAGGGAAGCAAAGCCGCGAGGCAGAGCAAAUCCCCAAAAGGCGUCUCAGUUCGGAUUGCAGGCUGCAACUCGCCUGUAUGAAGUCGGAAUUGCUAGUAAUCGUGGAUCAGCAUGCCACGGUGAAUACGUUCCCGGGCCUUGUACACACCGCCCGUCACACCAUGAGAGCCGGGAACACCCGAAGUCCGUAGUCUAACCGCAAGGAGGACGCGGCCGAAGGUGGGUUUGGUAAUUGGGGUGAAGUCGUAACAAGGUAGCCG